rnacentral:piRNA from 1 species
GCAAACAUGAAGUGCAUGUAGCGUGUCU